AAGAAUGUUGCAAACGCAUGACCACUGACAUCCAUAGUAGAAUAAACAAAUACUGUGGAAGUCAAUGGCUAUUCUUCAAAAUAUCCACUUUUGUGUUCAACAACAAACUCAAGCUAGUUUUGAACAAGUCUGGAAUGAGUAAAUAAUGGCAAACCUUUCAUUUGUGGAAAUACAAUCAACUUUAUUCAGAACAAAGUUCACACUGCCUCUGUAAUGCUGAUACUGCAGGAUAUCGAUGGUAAGAUCAUCUGAAGAGGAUGUGUUGUUUCUCCAGAGAUUAUGAGGAUGAUGAUUAAAUAAAUCCACCAUGAAAAGGCCCUCCACCACCACCUUACUCCUCCUAGAUCUUUUCUGAUAUCAGUAAUUCUGAGAUCUCCCUCAUCCACAAAGUCCAGAAAAAUACCAGAAUUGUUUUCUUGUGGCAGUUUCUGGACUUUGUUUCUGAGCAACUUGGGGCUGUUGCUGUCCAUGAAGGAUGAGGGAGCUCUCUGAUUUCAUCUAAAAUAUCUUCAUUUGUGUUCAGGGGAUUUAUUUGCCAGAUUAGUAAUGCUUGCUCAUUUCAGCCUAGGGCUGUCCAAACAUAACAUUACAAAUAUAGAAGUCUACAAUUACUUUAGGGUCAGUGUUAGUAAUGCACACAUCCACCCACAACACAAACUGAAGAAAACAAGGCCCUCCACCACCCCCUACUCCUCCUAGAUCAUUUCUGAUAUCAGUAAUUCUGAAAUCUGAGAUCUCCCUCAUCCUCAAAGUCCAGAAAAAUACACAAAAAAGAUUUUCCGGCAGUUUCUGGACUUUGUUUCUGAGCAACUUGGGGCUGUUGCUGUCCAUGAAGGAUGAGGGAGCUCUCUGAUUUCAUCUAAAGUUCUCUUCAUUUGUGUUCAGGGGAUUUAUUUGCCAGAUUAGUAAUGCUUGCUCAUUUUUUAACAGUUUUGUAAUUCAUUAUUGUUUUAAACCUUCUGCUUAUCAUAUAAACCUGACCCAAUGCUUUGUUCUGGUGCUGGUGUUUCUUCAUCCUCAUCCUCUAGAGGAACAACACGUCCUCCUCAAAAUGCACUCAGAUUUAACCAUCCACAUCCUCAGAGUCCAUCACGGGUUUCCAUUUCUGCCUGCACAGAAGAGGCAGUUUCCUGGCACUGAUGACGACGCUGAUCCUGCAGUGUUUGGGUCUCAGGACAGACUCUGGAUCAGGCUCUGGUUCUGGAUCAGUUAGAUAAGACCUUGCUGCUUUCUGUGUGAAGUCCAUACAGAGAAAAACACAAGAGGAAAUAUUAAAAACAUGUCUGGCAUUUGUCUAGCGCAUAUUUAUAUGACAUGAGAAGCAUCCCAGCGGGCACCUUGAUGACAAAACUACAUCAGAAACAGCAUAAAAAUGCAGAUCGAUUUAUGUCAGCUGAUUAACUUGACGUGUUUUUGACGCCAGUGUUAGAUUUCAAUUUGAUGUC